rnacentral:rRNA from 1 species
GACAGAGGGGGCAAGCGUUGCUCGGAAUCACUGGGCUUAAAGGGCGCGUAGGCGGGUGGCCAAGUCAGGGGUGAAAUCCGGCAGCUCAACUGUCGAAUAGCUUUUGAUACUGGCCGUCUUGAGGGGGGUAGGGGCAUGUGGAACUUCCGGUGGAGCGGUGGAAUGCGUAGAUAUCGGAAGGAACGCCGGUGGCGAAAGCGACGUGCUGGACCCUUUCUGACGCUGAGGCGCGAAAGCCAGGGGAGCAAACGGG